UUAUAAAGGGAGGGAAUGACAGAUGGAGGUGGCCUCAGGUGAGCUUUGCCAAUGCAACAUUAGCUUUCCUUGUUUUUUUUUUUUUUUUUUUUAAAGAUACCAUGUCCAAGAUCUGCUGCCAGUAGUUUCUGAAAUGCCAGGUCUGAGUGCCAGGGUAAGCUGGAAAACCAGCCAGCCAGGACUGCAAGUGCCAGAAGAUUACAAACACAGCCACUCUGCACAGCUUGCUGGAUAGCCCCGCGCCUUCUCAUUUGUGCCAAAUGGAUGUGGCCAUCAAGUCCUGAUCCAGACUUCAACCUGGAAGGAGAGACCCAGGCUUCAGCUGUAUCCAGCACAAAACAAUUUGGGUACAAGCCACAAAGAGGACUCUAACAGCAUGCAUAAAGAUGCCAACUCCCUGAAAUUGAUAUGUUUUGCUUCUCAUUACUGCCAUCCCCACACAUGCCUAUAACAUGGAUUUGAAAUGGCCUGUUUGUAUAAAGACUGCACACUGUUUCAAGCCAUCACAACAAUGGGGUGCAGUCUGCUGUGCAUGAGACCAAGACAAAAUGCCAUUCCAGGUGACUCCGUGACCCUAUGUGAGUAUGUGUGUUUAGGCACCUAUUUAAAACAUAACCACAGGCCAACAUACCUUUUUUGAAGCACAUGGAUAUCAUUACUACACUUGAAUUUUGGGUUGGAAGGAAAUACAGCAGUUAAGCACCUGAAAUCUCAGUAGACAAAAUAAGAACACCAUCAAGUUUUACAACUGUGGGACAGAAGAUUGCCAAAUAUAGGUUCCAUUAAAAAAAUUAGGAACUAAGUUAUGUUACAUACUUGAGUAUUUUUGUCACAGAGUUAUUACCUGUAACUAGAAGAUUCAAUUUCUACUAAGAAGUGGAG
rnacentral:lncRNA from 10 species